rnacentral:rRNA from 1 species
AGGGUUUGAUCAUGGCUCAGAACGUACGCUGGCGGCACGCCUAACACAUGCAAGUCGAACGCAGUAGCAAUACUGAGUGGCAAACGGGUGAGUAUAAUGUGGGAAUCUGCCUUUUGGUUUGGAAUAACACGGGGAAACUUGUGCUAAUACCGAAUAAGCCUUUACAGGGAAAGUUUUAACGCCGAAAGAUGAGCCCGCACUUGAUUAGCUAGUUGGUAAGGUAAAAGCUUACCAAGGCAACGAUCAAUAGCUGUUCUUAGAGGAAGACCAGCCACAUUGGGACUGAGACACGGCCCAGACUCCUACGGGAGGCAGCAGUGGGGAAUCUUGCACAAUGGGGGAAACCCUGAUGCAGCGAUGCCGCGUGAGUGAAGAAGGCCUUUGGGUUGUAAAACUCUUUCGUCGGGGAAGAAAAUGACUGUACCCGAAUAAGAAGGUCCGGCUAACUUCGUGCCAGCAGCCGCGGUAAUACGAAGGGACCUAGCGUAGUUCGGAAUUACUGGGCUUAAAGAGCUCGUAGGUGGUUAAAAUAGUUGAUGGUGAAAUCCCAAGGCUUAACCUUGGAACUGCCAUCAAAACUUUUUAGCUAGAGUGUGAUAGAGGUAAGUGGAAUUUCUAGUGUAGAGGUGAAAUUCGUAGAUAUUAGAAAGAACACCAAAUGCGAAGGCAACUUACUGGGUCACAACUGACACUGAGGAGCGAAAGCAUGGGUAGCGAAGAGGAUUAGAUACCCUCGUAGUCCAUGCCGUAAACGAUGUGUGCUAGACGUUGGAAAUAUAUUUUUCAGUGUCGCAGCGAAAGCAUUAAGCACACCGCCUGGGGAGUACGACCGCAAGGUUAAAACUCAAAUGAAUU